UCUAAUAUGGCAGAUUAGUGCAAUAGAUUUAAGACCUAUAAAUAAAGAUCAUCUUUUAUUAGAA
rnacentral:tRNA from 1 species